GGUGAGAGGAGCAGCAGGGAUGUGGUGCCCGUGAUUCAGCGCUGCUGGCUUUCUCCGUGACCUUUAACAGCUUGAAAGUACAAGUCCAUGGUCAUGCACUUCUUUGACUGCCCUGCAGCAGACCACCUCUCUCAUUUUCUGAAGCACUGCAAAGUCUUGGAGUUACACGAGCAUUCGCAAAAGUUAGACGGAUCCUAGAGCAAUCCUCUUGUGUUAUUUUACUACUGAGGAACAUCCUGGACAUCCAUCAGUAUUUGGACCCUUAUGAAUCUACCUUAAAUGAUUUUCAAGAAGAUUUAUACUGCUCAUUUGUAUUUCCAUAUCGCUGCUGGAACGAAGUAAUUUGCCAGAGGUAAACAAAAGGGUUUUCUUUGUGUGGUGCUUGAUCUACUGGCAUUCCUUGGGGUCCUUGGGAUGAAGAGUUUUGUCCUUCCUCAGGAAGAGUGAGGGUGGGGAAGCCAUGCAUUGGCUGUUUAUAGAUAUGGAAGCUGUAAGUGCUGAUGAUGAAGUGAGCAACACCUACUUUUGGGGAUACAAUUCAGUCAACAUCAACAAAUUUGAGUCUUAAGCUCAAAUUUUUGACUAAAGUUAUUUUCCAAAGGCCUUCUCCUCCUACUGCCUUGUGCUGCUGGGAGAAGAAAACUUGGUCUGGAAAUCUUGAAGGUGUCCUGAUUCAUGGGUAUGUGGAAUAAAGGUGUUCUGUUCCUAGUUUUUAGUUCAAAAUUCAUUUCAAUGCAGUUUUUAAUUCAAAAUUCAUUUGAAUGCAGUUUUCAACUCUCUUCCUCGGUAUUUUAGGGAAUCAGCUUCCACAAAUAACAAAAUUAUCAUUUCUGAAAUUUGGCUGAACAGAGAAAAUCCGAGUCUCAAAGGUUAAAUGGGAG